GAGUUUGAUCAUGGCUCAGAUUGAACGCUGGCGGCAUGCCUUACACAUGCAAGUCGAACGGCAGCACGGGAGCCUGCUCCUGGUGGCGAGUGGCGAACGGGUGAGUAAUGCAUCGGAACGUAUCCUGGAGUGGGGGGAUAACGUAGCGAAAGUUACGCUAAUACCGCAUAUUCUGUGAGCAGGAAAGCGGGGGACCUUCGGGCCUCGCGCUCUUGGAGCGGCCGAUGUCGGAUUAGCUAGUUGGUGAGGUAAAGGCUCACCAAGGCGACGAUCCGUAGCAGGUCUGAGAGGAUGAUCUGCCACACUGGAACUGAGACACGGUCCAGACUCCUACGGGAGGCAGCAGUGGGAAUUUUGGACAAUGGGGGCAACCCUGAUCCAGCCAUGCCGCGUGAGUGAAGAAGGCCUCGGUU
rnacentral:rRNA from 1 species